GUGAACCUGCGGAAGGAUCAUUACAGAGUUCCUGCCCUCACGGGUAGAAACCCCACCCUUGUGUAUAUUAUAUUGUUGCUUUAGCAGGUCGCCCUCUGGGCGUCGGCCUCGGCUGACUGUGCCUGCUAGAGGACCCUAAACUUUGAAAUACAGUGUCGUCUGAGUACUAUUUAAUAGUUAAAACUUUCAACAACGGAUCUCUUGGUUCUGGCAUCGAUGAAGAACGCAGCGAAAUGCGAUAAGUAAUGUGAAUUGCAGAAUUCAGUGAAUCAUCGAAUCUUUGAACGCACAUUGCGCCCCUUGGUAUUCCGGGGGGCAUGCCUGUUCGAGCGUCAUUUAGACCAACUCCCGCUCCGGCGGGGUCUUGGGCUGCGCCUUUGGGCGGGCCUUAAAACUAGUGGCGGUGCCCUAAGGCUCUACGCGUAGUAAUUCUUCUCGCGAUAGGGUCCUUGCGGUGUCUUGCCAGCAACCCCCAAC
rnacentral:rRNA from 1 species